AGUGAACGCUGGCGGUAGGCCUAACACAUGCAAGUCGAACGGCAGCACAGUAAGAGCUUGCUCUUACGGGUGGCGAGUGGCGGACGGGUGAGGAAUACAUCGGAAUCUACUUUUUCGUGGGGGAUAACGUAGGGAAACUUACGCUAAUACCGCAUACGACCUACGGGUGGAAGCAGGGGAUCUUCGGACCUUGCGCGAUUGAAUGAGCCGAUGUCGGAUUAGCUAGUUGGCGGGGUAAAGGCCCACCAAGGCGACGAUCCGUAGCUGGUCUGAGAGGAUGAUCAGCCACACUGGAACUGAGACACGGUCCAGGCUCCUACGGGAGGCAGCAGUGGGGAAUAUUGGACAAUGGGCGCAAGCCUGAUCCAGCCAUACCGCGUGGGUGAAGAAGGCCUUCGGGUUGUAAAGCCCUUUUGUUGGGAAAGAAAAGCAGCAGGUUAAUACCCCGCUGUUCUGACGGUACCCAAAGAAUAAGCACCGGCUAACUUCGUG
rnacentral:rRNA from 1 species